GACGAACCGUGCGAACGUUGUUCGGAAUCACUGGGCUUAAAGGGCGCGUAGGCGGACCCGCCAGUCAGGGGUGAAAUCCCACGGCUCAACCGUGGCAGUGCCUUUGAUACUGCGGGUCUCGAGGGAGGUAGGGGCGUGCGGAACUUCCGGUGGAGCGGUGAAAUGCGUAGAUAUCGGAAGGAACACCGGUGGCGAAAGCGGCGCGCUGGACCUCUUCUGACGCUGAGGCGCGAAAGCCAGGGGAGCAAACGGG
rnacentral:rRNA from 1 species